rnacentral:misc_RNA from 1 species
UCCCCGUUACCGGGGCAGUCUGAUUAGAAAAAUUCAACUAAUCACAAGGGUUGCGCUCGUUGAUGGACUUAACCAAACAUCUCACGACACGAGCUGACGACGGCCAUGCAUCACCUGUCACUUGGUUCAAUAAAGCACUCUCUACUUUCGCAGAGAUUCCAAGGAUGUCAAACCCUGGUAAGGUUCUUCGUUUAGCAUCGAAUUAAAGAACACGAUCCACUACUUGUGCGGGUCCCCGUCAAUUCCUUUAUGUUUUAGUCUUGCGACCGUACUCCACAGGCGGGAUACUUAACGCGUUAGCUUCGUUACUGAGGGGGUCGAUACCCCCAACAACUAGUAUCCAUCGUUUACGGCGUGGACUAC